rnacentral:rRNA from 1 species
UAACCAGCCGAAAGGUUGGCUAAUACUAGAUAGAGCGCAUGGGUCGUAAAGAUCUGUGCGGGAAAGGGUGGCGUAGCAAUACGCUAUCGUGCUGAGAUGAGCCUGCGUCUCAUUAGCUAGUUGGUAGGGUAAUGGCCUACCAAGGCUAUGAUGGGUAGCUGGUCUGAGAGGACGAUCAGCCACACUGGAACUGAAACACGGUCCAG